UAUAAUGGGCUUUCUAUUGCAAUCCUAAAUAGCAAGUGUCAACCUGAUUUUUCAAGUUCUCAGGAACCUUUCAGCAGUCAUGUGGAUUCUAGGGAAAGCAGUGCUGCCUGGCUGACUGAAACAUCAUGUUUUAUUCUCACUCUUUGUUUUCUUCCUUUUAGGUCUGCUGUGCCUCUGUUAAUGGCAGGGCAGCCCAAGCAGGAAGAGCGGACCUUUGAUGGCUGGCAAAGUUGCAGCACUGGGAGCAUUUUGAAAUUUAAGGAUAUAAAAUAUUUUGGGGACCAGUGCUGUGGCAUGGCAGAUAAAGCCACCAC
ensembl:lncRNA